GGAGUUAGCCGGUGCUUCUUCUGUGAGUGAUGUCCUUCCUGCCGGCUAUUAACCCGCAGGCCUUCUUCCUCACUGAAAGUGCUUUACAACCCGAAGGCCUUCUUCACACACGCGGCAUGGCUGGAUCAGGGUUGCCCCCAUUGUCCAAUAUUCCCCACUGCUGCCUCCCGUAGGAGUCUGGGCCGUGUCUCAGUCCCAGUGUGGCUGAUCAUCCUCUCAGACCAGCUACGGAUCGUCGCCUUGGUGAGCCGUUACCUCACCAACCAGCUAAUCCGACAUAGGCUCAUCCGAUAGCGCGAGGCCCGAAGGUCCCCCGNUUUCCCCCGUAGGGCGUAUGCGGUAUUAGCCUGGGUUUCCCCCAGGUUAUCCCCCGACUACCGGGCAGAUUCCUAUGCAUUACUCACCCGUCCGCCGCUCGCCACCAGGGAGCAAGCUCCCCGUGCUGCCGCUCGACUUGCAUGUGUUAGGCCUGCCGCCAGCGUUCAAUCUGAGCCAUAAUCAAACUCUGA
rnacentral:rRNA from 1 species